UCUCUACUAAAAAUACAAAUUAGCCAGGCAAGGUGGUACAAACCCAUAAUCCAAGCUACUAAGUAGCUGAGAUGGGCGGCUGGCUUGAGCCCAGAAGUUUGAGGUUGCCAUGAGCCAAGAUUGUACAACUGUACUCCAGCCUGGGCAACAGAAGAAUGUCAUGGCAAAGAGGUUUUCCAGUGGGAGUUGGAGUGAAGGGAAUCCUAAUACCCCAAAUGAUUGGAGGAGAUGGGCUGUGAUUUGUAUUUGCUGAGCGCUCCAUGCAAGAAUACAGCAAUCUGUUGCUUUUAAUGAUAAAAACAAAAAUUAUAAAUUAAACAUAUGCUGUAUGCUUCACUUCUCAUGUCUACAUUUCUAUUACUCCUCACCUAGUGAUUUUAGAUAUAGAACAAUUUCAAGGAAAAGGUAGCUGUUUCAGGGAAAAUUCUACUUUGGCCUCGCGUUCAGAGUUUUCUUACAUAAAAGACCAAGGUUCUUAUGAUGCAGAUGAAGCCUCCAGGAAAUAGGCCUCAGAGAGAAUAAAUCAUCAGUCCGGUGCUCCGUCUCCAACAGUUGUAAAGAAGGUAUUUUUCAUCUGAAUAGCCAUUGACAGCGAACUCUGGUGACAUCCUCAGUCUUCCUUGACAAUGGGAGGAGGAGUUGUCACCAAGAAACUUGUUACUAUCCCAAGUAACGAGCUAGCAUCCCUCAGAUAAUACAAUAGCAUCAAAAACAGAAAAAGUGCUUGAAGAACUGGAAGGAACAGUGAUCAUUCUUGUCAGAUGGAAUCUUAAAAUCCAGUGGGUUUCAAAGGAUGAGCAGGAGCUGGACAUGAAGGGAUUGGAGGAUGGGGACUGGAAAUGGGGAGUUCAUUGCAAUCAGAAGGAAGAGCAAGAAAGGAACAAAAAGCAAGCAGUGUUUGGGGAGACCAGGAUGUGAUUCCAGUUUGGCCAAAAUAUAGGGUAUACUGGGAGAAUCUAUUGAGGUUUUGGGAGUGUAUUUGUUUGUAGUUUGAAAACACCUAAGCAAUUUUGAAGAGAAGCAGACUCUUUAAGUCAGAUGCUGGGUUCUCCAGUCCAAAUAUGCCAAUAUAAUUGUGUCUGGUCAAUGUCUAUCCUGUCCAUCCCUCCUGAGUGCCAGAUCUAAAUCCAGGUGCCAAUGGAUGACUUCCACUUGGGUGCCCCACAGGCGUCAUGAAUUCAGUAUGACUGAAAAGGACUCCUCCUAUCUUCAGCGAUGGUUCCACUACACAAUACACUGUCCAAGCCAGAAGUCCCAAACUAGCCUUCUGUCCUUCCUUCUCCAUUCACCACGCCUGUCAUCCCCUUCAGAGCUGUUGGCCAAAUCUUGUUGAUUUUACCAAGUAUCUAUCAAAAUGUUUCCUCUUCCUCCCUGUACUCACUGCAAUCACUUUUGCUCAAGGGCUCAUCAUUUCGUGCCUGGGUGACUAGAGUUGUUUCCCAGCAGGUCUCCCCACCCUCCUUUCUCACAUGGCUGCCAGAACGGUCUUCUGAAAGGCAAAUCUGACCAUUCGACAACUCUGCUCUAAAUUCCUCCUAUGGAUCCCCAUGGCUUGGAUUUAAUAAAUGUUUAUUGAGUGAAUGAGUUCUCUGCAUACAUGUUGUUCUCUGCCUGGUACCGUGGAGGUCAGGCUCGCACAGAAGCAUACUUAUGGUCAGAGUUAGUCAAUAAAAAAAGUGAUCUAUUCUGAGUUCCAUACCACCCCAAAACACUGAUCAGCUUGGGGAAACUUAGAAAGUUCAACCACCUGGGGAUAAAGUUUGGACAACUAGGCUAGGGCCAAUUCAGGGUACAGGUGGAGGCUAGGAAGUUUGGCAUAGGAUAUCAUUAAAGGUCUUCUAAGGAUGAAGGCAAUUGGAGCUACACUAUAGGAAGGCACAGCAGGCGGAGAACAGACUUGAGAAGGAUUUGGGAGGUGAAGAAACAGCUAAAAGACUCUAUCUCUGACAAAGAUAUAAUGCCCAGAAUUAGAAGAGUGGAAAUGAAGGAAUGAUGAAUGAAAGAGAUUAUCAAGAAGAAACAAACAAACAAAUAAACAAACAAAAAUCCCUGUAAUCAGUAACCAUCUAUUAUUAUGUCCCAGAUUUUGGAAAUGAGACCCUAAUGACAAGCACUCCUAAACCUUCAACAUAGCUGCUGUUAAGGAUGUUGUCUUGUGGGGGUGAAAGGCAGACCAAAAUGAUACACCGAUGAGUCCUUUCUGAUUUUAAGCAAAUGGCAUACAGUGUGGUGAAUUAAAAACAGCAUUAUCCUGAUUUUAUUACUAGUAUCAUUACUAUUAGCAUUAUUGCUACUGCUGUUAUAGGUAAAAAUGGGAACGUUGUGAACAUUUCCCAUUGCCUAUCCAAGGUGCUUGGUACUUUACAUGAUAUCUCACUUAAUCAUCAGAAAGUUUGGAGUUAUUCUAUAGGUAAUGAGGGAGAUGCUAUUAUUACCUGCUGUGGUGGAAUAAAGAUGGCUGCAAAUUCUUUGUCACUUCUACCAGAAGAAAGUGAGGUGUAUGUCUGCUCCCCUUG
rnacentral:lncRNA from 1 species